UUUCCGUAGGUGAACCUGCGGAAGGAUCAUUAUUAAUUAAGCGAGGUACGAGGCUUUUCGCUAAUCCGAAUGGACGUGCACUGCCGAGUUCGCUCACACCCAUCCAUCCCACCCCUAUGUACACCACCGCGUGCGUCCACCUAUGUCUUUUUCGGAUAGUGGCUUACGUUUUCACACAAACUAUGUAUGCAGUAUGGAAUGUAUGUUUUGUUCUUGCAAUCACACCAUCAAUAAACCGUACAACAACGGAUCUCUUUGCUGUCACACCGAUGAAGAACG
rnacentral:misc_RNA from 1 species